GGGGAGGUGGGGACUGAUCACUGUAUUGAUCUGUAGUUUUUAACUUUCAGACCUGUCCACGCUGAGUUUAUAGCAACUGUCAAUUACGGUUCAGAUUUUCCUACCCCAGCGUGACUUUCCAAAGAGGCUUCUGCUCAUGGAUUUCUGCUCCAGGAAGAUGCAACAGGAAGGUCCUCACAAGAUGGCUGAACAGAUGCAGGUGCUGUGCCUCUGGACUGCCUAGCCUCCAGAACUGAGGUGUUGGAAGCUGUGAAUGUGGAUGAAAGUACCAAUAUAGAGAGAACAGAGUGAGAAUAGAAGACAGCCCAAGAAUCUAAAGUCAUGCACUUGCAAGGGAGUCAGAGGAAGAGAGGGAAAAUGGUUCAUUGUUUCCAUCAUGUACUCUAUGGAAUACAAAGCUCUGAAACCUGUUGGCUACUGGAAGUGUACAAGAAAAAGACUCUCAAGCUAGAGGUGGGGUAGAGCUGGAGCCAGCCAUGUCAAGAUCUUUCGAGGACAUGAACAUUUUUUAUGCUUAUUAAAAGAUGAUGUGGUUUUAAAAUAAAUCUAAGGCUGGGCGCAGUGGCUCAUGCCUGGAAUCCCAGCAGUUUGGGAGGCUGAGGCGGGUGGAUUGCUUGAGCUCAGUAAUUCAAGACCAGCCUGGGCAACAUGGCAAGAAACUCUCUCUACUAAAAACAGAAAAAUUAAGUACGUGUGGUGGUGCAUGUCUGUGGUCCCAGCUACUUGGGAGGCUGAGCUGGGAGGAUGGCUUGAGCCCAG
rnacentral:lncRNA from 10 species